AACGCGCAACAAACGUUUCUUUAAAAAAGUAUCUCGAAGCAUGCAGGCAAACAAAUAUGUUUAAAACGAAACCUGACUAUCUUUUUUUACAGAUCUAGUAAAGCAUGCCUAUCAAAAACUCCAAUAAAGUGAAUAUUAUCAUGAAAGACUGAACGGUUUGUGGUGACUAUUCCUCUUUCUCGCAGAUUUGCAGAUAAUUGGAAGCUCGAAGCGGCGGAUCGAUGCGACUGGAGAGACAAGUCACGUAACGGUCUCAACAAGAUGGAUGAUUUGAGGCGGCGGAGCAACGCUGUUAAACGAUCAAGACAUCACGCUACCAGGAACGCCUCCACUGUCGCAGACUCGGGAGAAUUUCGUUGCCAACACUGCAACAGGACCUGCGCAAGUCGCAUUGGCAUGUUAAGUCACGAGCGCGCUUGUGGAAGUCAGUGAACUAGAUGGACAUUUGCAGACAGCCUUCGUUGAUUCGACAGGCAGCAUCAUCGUUGCAGUCCACGCUGUAUUAUGAUUUAUGAGUAAAUUGUACGAGAACUCUUCUCCCAUGAACCAGUUAACUCAACAAAUCUUUAAACUAAGAACCUCUUGCCUGUUUUUGAGUUAAACACUACACCUAGUGAAUAAACUGUCGUGAAUGACGAUCAUGUUCAAAGCAGUAUAUAAACUUGGUUUUUGAUUUCCGUAUAUAAUUAUAAAAAUAGAAGAGUGUUAACUUUAUUCGAGUUUGAACGAAUUUUUUUAUAUAAUAUUCGUGAUACAUCGUACAUUUUGUGAUAGUACAUUUUUAUUUGUGAAGACAGCCUUAUUAUAGCAAACUAAGACAUCCUGUGAACGGUUUUACCAGAAUUGAAUUGCUCCUCAUUUAAUGGAGUCACGCAGACUUUUAUAUAUACUUUAUGAAUCAAAUUUAGGCUUAAUUAAAUCAUUUAUGCAUUGCAAA